AUUGGUAUGCAAAGCGGAAAGCGAUUUUGGCUUUCGGGCGAGUGCAGGCAGUUGGUACAUCUCGGGAGUUGAAGGUGAAAUUUGGCGCAGGCUAUCAUCUCAAGGUGGAGGUCUCGGCAGCAGCAUCUCGCGAAAACAUGGCUGAGG
rnacentral:sRNA from 1 species